rnacentral:rRNA from 1 species
GGGUUGUGAGGUUAAGCGACUAAGCGUACACGGUGGAUGCCCUGGCAGUCAGAGGCGAUGAAGGACGUGCUAAUCUGCGAUAAGCGUCGGUGAGGUGAUAUGAACCGUUAUAACCGGCGAUUUCCGAAUGGGGAAACCCAGUGUGUUUCGACACACUAUCAUUAACUGAAUCCAUAGGUUAAUGAGGCGAACCGGGGGAACUGAAACAUCUAAGUACCCCGAGGAAAAGAAAUCAACCGAGAUUCCCCCAGUAGCGGCGAGCGAACGGGGAGGAGCCCAGAGCCUGAAUCAGUGUGUGUGUUAGUGGAAGCGUCUGGAAAGGCGCGCGAUACAGGGUGACAGCCCCGUACACAAAAAUGCACAUAUUGUGAGCUCGAUGAGUAGGGCGGGACACGUGGUAUCCUGUCUGAAUAUGGGGGGACCAUCCUCCAAGGCUAAAUACUCCUGACUGACCGAUAGUGAACCAGUACCGUGAGGGAAAGGCGAAAAGAACCCCGGCGAGGGGAGUGAAAAAGAACCUGAAACCGUGUACGUACAAGCAGUGGGAGCCUCUUAAUGGGGUGACUGCGUACCUUUUGUAUAAUGGGUCAGCGACUUAUAUUCUGUAGCAAGGUUAACCGAAUAGGGGAGCCGAAGGGAAACCGAGUCUUAACUGGGCGUUAAGUUGCAGGGUAUAGACCCGAAACCCGGUGAUCUAGCCAUGGGCAGGUUGAAGGUUGGGUAACACUAACUGGAGGACCGAACCGACUAAUGUUGAAAAAUUAGCGGAUGACUUGUGGCUGGGGGUGAAAGGCCAAUCAAACCGGGAGAUAGCUGGUUCUCCCCGAAAGCUAUUUAGGUAGCGCCUCGUGAAUUCAUCUCCGGGGGUAGAGCACUGUUUCGGCAAGGGGGUCAUCCCGACUUACCAACCCGAUGCAA